AUUGAACGCUGGCGGCGUGCCUAACACAUGCAAGUCGAGCGGUAACAGGUGUAGCAAUACAUGCUGACGAGCGGCGAACGGGUGAGUAAUGCUUUGGAAUCUUCCCAGUAGUGGGGAAUAACCAGUCGAAAGAUUGGCUAAUACCGCAUACGUCUGUAAAGGGAAAGCGGGGGACUCGCCUCUUCUUCGGAAGAGAGGCCUCGCGCUAUUGGAUGAGCCAAAGCGGAUUAGCUAGUUGGUGGGGUAAUGGCCCACCAAGGCGACAAUCCGUAGCUGGUCUGAGAGGACGACCAGCCACACCGGAACUGAGACACGGUCCGGACUCCUACGGGAGGCAGCAGUGGGGAAUAUUGGACAAUGGGGAAACCCUGAUCCAGCGACGCCGCGUGUGUGAAGAAGGCCUGCGGGUUGUAAAGCACUUUUAGUGGGGACAAAAGCUACGGAUUAAUACUUCGUGGUCUUGAUUUAACCCAAAGAAAAGACACCGGCUAACUCUGUGCCAGCAGCCG
rnacentral:rRNA from 1 species